rnacentral:misc_RNA from 1 species
GCCUGCCGUAAAAUUACUCACAACAAUACACGCCAGGGUAUUACGAGCGCAAGCUUAAAACCCAAAGGAUUUGACGGUGUUCCACCCACCUAGAGGAGCCUGUUCUAUAAUCGAUAAUCCCCGAUACACCUCACCACUUCUUGCUUUUUCAGCCUGUAUACCUCCGUCGCAAAUCUACCAUCUGAGUGUAAUAAAGUAGGUCUAAUGAACCACCACAUUAAUACGUCAGGUCAAGGUGCAGCCAACGAAAUGGAAAGCAAUGGGCUACAAUUUCUAAAAUAGAACAAACGAAACACUACAUGAAAUAUAGUCAUGAAGGCGGAUUUAGCAGUAAAAGAAGAAUAGAGUGCUUCUUUUAACAAGGCCCUGGAACGUGUACAAACCGCCCGUCACCCUCUUCAACAGCAACCUCCCCCCCGCUUCUUAACAUUACACAGCACCUUAGAAGAGGUAAGUCGUAACAUGGUAAGUGUACUGGAAAGUGCACUUGGCUAAACAAAGUGUAGCUUAACUAAAGCACUUCGCUUACACCGAAUAAAUACCUGUUAAACCCAGGUCACUUUGAGCUAAUAAUCUAGCCCAUUCUCUACCCACUCCAUUCCACACCUAACCUAAACAAACUAAAACAUUUUAACCUUAUAGUAGAGGCGAUCGAAAAAUAUACAUGGCGC